UGGGGAAUAUUGCGCAAUGGGGGCAACCCUGACGCAGCAACGCCGCGUGCGGGACGACGGCCUUCGUGUUGUAAACCGCUUUCAGCAGGGAAGAUAGUGACGGUACCUGCACAAGAAGCCCCGGCUAACUACGUGCCAGCAGCCGCGGUAAUACGUAGGGGGCGAGCGUUAUCCGGAUUCAUUGGGCGUAAAGCGCGCGCAGGCGGCUCUUCAAGCGGAACCUCUAACCCUGGGGCUCAACCUCGGGCCGGGUUCCGAACUGGUGGGCUCGAGUGCGGUAGAGGCAGGCGGAAUUCCCGGUGGUGCGGUGGAAUGCGCAGAUAUUAGGAGGAAUACCGGUGGCGAAGGCGACUUUCUGGCCAUAAUCUGACGCUGAGGUACGAAAGCGUGGGUAGCAAACAGG
rnacentral:rRNA from 1 species